GACGAACGCUGGCGGCAUGCCUUACACAUGCAAGUCGAACGGCAGCACGGGUGCUUGCACCUGGUGGCGAGUGGCGAACGGGUGAGUAAUAUAUCGGAACGUACCUUAUUGUGGGGGAUAACGCAGCGAAAGCUGUGCUAAUACCGCAUAAUCCCUAAGGGGGAAAGCGGGGGACCGUAAGGCCUCGCGCAAUUAGAGCGGCCGAUACCUGAUUAGCUAGUUGGUGAGGUAAAGGCUCACCAAGGCAACGAUCAGUAGCUGGUCUGAGAGGACGAUCAGCCACACUGGGACUGAGACACGGCCCAGACUCCUACGGGAGGCAGCAGUGGGGAAUUUCGGACAAUGGGGGCAACCCUGAUCCAGCAAUGCCGCGUGAGUGAAGAAGGCCUUCGGGUUGCAAAGCUCUUUUGUCAGGGAAGAAACAGCAGCUCUAACACAGCUUGCGAAUGACGGUACCUGAAGAAUAAGCACCGGCUAACUACGUGCCAGCAGCCGCCGUAA
rnacentral:rRNA from 1 species